CAGGCUUCAGAUUAAACUUUAAAAUUGGCAUUAUCUCGAACUCCUGUUAUGGGACUUCCCAACCUUGAGAAACCUUUCAAUUUGUAUGUGGACUCAAAGAAUAAUAUGGCUCUUGGAGUCGUGACUCAAGAAAAGGGAAGUUGGCAACAACCCAUAGCUUAUUUGU